rnacentral:rRNA from 1 species
GAUGAACGCUGGCGGCGUGCCUAAUACAUGCAAGUCGUGCGGAAAGGCCACUUCGGUGGUACUCGAGCGGCGGACGGCAGAGUAACGCGUAGGAACAUACCCCAAACUGAGGCAUAACUGCUCGAAAGAGCAGCUAAUACCGCAUGUGAUCUUCGGAUUAAAGCUUCGGCGGUUUGGGAAUGGCCUGCGUCCGAUUAGCUAGUUGGUGAGGUAAAUGCUCACCAAGGCUUCGAUCGGUAGCUGGUCUGAGAGGAUGAUCAGCCUGACUGGAACUGAGAACGGUCCAGACUCCUACGGGAGGCAGCAGUAGGGAAUUUUCCACAAUGGGCGAAAGCCUGAUGGAGCAACGCCGCGUGCAGGAUGAAUGCCUUCGGGUUGUAAACUGCUUUUAUUAGUGAAGAAUAUGACGGUAACUAAUGAAUAAGGGUCGGCGUAACUACGUGCCAGCAGCCGCGGU